rnacentral:ribozyme from 1 species
AAUGCCAGAACGAUAUACUAACAACAAUAUAUGAUUUUUUGCAGGAGGGGGGGGGGGGAAAAAAUUUUUUUUUUUGGGUUUUUUUUUUUCUUUUUUCCCCUUUUUUUUUUUUUUUUUUUUU